UAUUUAGAGAAUCAAUGAAGCGGGCCCCCUCUUUAUGCAUGACAGUUAGUGCCUCCUUAUGACAUUUUUUGGAUCCGCAACUGGUGAGGACUUCAUAAAAAAUUAUUAAGUAAGUUUGUGUUUUGUGAUAAAUAAUGUAUUUAGACAGAAAUAGGAUAAAAUAAACUACCGAAAGCUUUAGUAUGGAUGGGGGUUAACAGAAUAGAGAAUAACGGGCAAACAAUAAAGAUUAAAGAAUAAUGAAAUGCUAAAAUAUGAGGAAAGAGAGUAAUGAGCAAAAAGUGUAAGUUUGUAGAAAUAUAGCAAAAAAAAAAUAAAGAACACAGAAAAAGAAGACCCCCCCAAGAUCCUGACUUCAACUUUUACGCUGCUGGGAUAUUUUUUAGACAAAGUGCACGUAUUAGUAGUCAGCCGAAACCACUAAGCGUUUUGCAUCCAUACGGGUUUUUUUUUCGGGAUACUGACUGCAUAGUAAACUAUCAAUGUACUAGUUAAUGUUCUCGAGGGAUGACCCUAUUACAGAGACAUAUAUACACAUAUGUGUAAAUAUGUCUCUGCCCUAUUACGUGUCAGUAACCUCCUCGACACGGUUCAUUUUUACGGCGGCUCAGUUUUGUCUUAAGAAUAAACAUAAUUGAUAAGUUUCUUUCCCCUGCAUUUUUCGAUCGCACUUGUAAAUAGCACAUUGGUCUCAAUUAAGACAUUGGUUACAACACUUGCCGUCAGUACUCAAAAUUGGAAAAAUAUUAAAUAAGAAGGUUGCCAGCAAGAUGAAAAGAACAAUGCAGUUCAAAAGUCAAAAUGUGGAUAAGCUGCGGUACAAAGUCCAACUUUUGCAGAUUUUCAUAUUUUGCAUGAAUGAAUUUGAAGUUUAUAUCCUGGAGGGCAGAGAAAGAAAAGAAACACUUCAGUUUUCCUGCUUCUGAAGGAUAAAUGUAAAACAUCUUGUUUGAAGGAUUGGAAUUCAUCACUGAGAAUAGAAGGAGAAAACACAGAAACAAGACCAAAAUAAAUUCAAAGACAAAAGUCAGAUCAGUUAUUAUUUUCAUCACUCAGCCAAUGAAUUGCAGUUCUAUUAAAUAUCUAAAGAUAUUAAAACCACAAUAAUGACAAUGUUCUGUGCUGAAUGGCAAAAAAGUGGACUAUACAUUACGAUCACACAAUGCUGGAUGAUAAGAAACUAUUAAUUUUUUGGGUGGAGGGAUAUCCUGAAAAAAAAAUAGAUUUAUGUAAAAAGCUACUAGUAUGUUAAGCCUAUUAAUAGAGUUUUCAUUGAUUUCAAAUGGGAAAAAAUUGUGUUUCAAAAAAGUGUUCUAGAAUUCAUAAAUAAACAUAUAUUGAUACUUACA